rnacentral:rRNA from 1 species
AGGACGAACGCUGGCGGCGUGCUUAACACAUGCAAGUCGAGCGGUAAGGCCCUUUCGGGGGUACACGAGCGGCGAACGGGUGAGUAACACGUGAGCAAUCUGCCCUUCACUUCGGGAUAAGCCUCGGAAACGGGGUCUAAUACCGGAUAUGACCGCGCUACGCAUGUGGUAGUGGUGGAAAGUUCUGGCGGUGGAGGAUGAGCUCGCGGCCUGUCAGCUUGCUGGUGGGUAAUGGCCUACCAAGGCUUCGACGGGUAGCCGGCCUGAGAGGGUGACCGGCCAACGACGUCGGGACUAGGAGACACGGCCCCAGACUCCUACGGGAGCAGCAGUGGGAAUAUGGACAAUCGGGACUAAAGGCCUAGGACUCCAAGCCUAACGGCCGCGUGAGGAGUGGACGGCCUUACGGGUUGUAACCUGUUUACAGCGUACCGAACG